rnacentral:rRNA from 1 species
AUUGAACGCUGGCGGCAUGCUUUACACAUGCAAGUCGAACGGCAGCGCGGGCUUCGGCCUGGCGGCGAGUGGCGAACGGGUGAGUAAUGCAUCGGAACGUUCCCAGUAGUGUGGGAUAGCCCUGCGAAAGCCGGAUUAAUACCGCAUACGACCUUCGUGUGGAAUCGGGGGGCCUGAAGGCCUCGCGCGAUUGGAGCUGGCGAUGUCGGAUUAGCUAGUUGGUGGGGUAAAGGCUUACCAAGGGGGCGAUCCGUAUCUGGUCUGAGAGGACGACGAGGCACACUGGGACUGAGACGCGGCCCAGACUCCUAGGGGAGGCAGAAGUGGGGAAUUUUGGAAGAUGGGGGCAACACUGCUCCAGCCAUGGCGGGUGCGGGCAGAAGGCCUUCGGGUUGUAAACCGCUUUUGUUCGGGAAGAAAUCCUUUGGGCUAAUACCACGGGGGGAUGACGGUACCGGAAGAAUAAGCACCGGCUAACUACGUG